rnacentral:lncRNA from 1 species
GGGUGUUUGCAGUGUGGUUACCGAUUUUCUCUGCAGGUGGCGGAGGGUGUUAGAUGGAUGGCCCAGUGGCCAAAGGGAGGCAUCGAGGGAAGGUGGGGGGGGGAUCCUCUUGGUUCCUUAGAAGCCAAAGUAGCAACGUUUUUGAUCUUAGGAAUCCCCAGAGAUAUCAACUGGAAGGGUGUUUUUGUCAAAACAGAGAAACUAGACCAGGUCAUAGUCCUAUGGCAGGGACAGGAUCAGGGGCCACAGGCUGUGACAAAGCCUAGUUCUCCAGUCCUCCCCUGAAAAGGGGCGGAGAUACCCACGGGCUCGGGUGAGCUCAGAUUCCCCCUUCUAUGUCUCCAAGACAGAAGAACAGCAAAAUAUGCCUGGUCUAACCUCGAAGGAUGCGAGAGCUAAGAGGAGCAGGCCCUGACCUGGAUCCGACCCUACGGGUCCCUUCCGAGAACCCUCACCAGGUGUACCGUAACCCUGAGGAUCCAACCUUGCGCACCCUGGACUUCAGAGAGCCUCCACGGGUGAAUCCUGACCUGGCAGGUACAUGAAGAAGCUGGACAAAGACAUUGGAUUCCCUGGAGUUGGAGUUACUGCAGACUGUGAGCCUCCUGGCAAUGGAAACCAAACUUUGGACCUCUGAAAGAUCAGGAAGUGAUCUUAAUGGCUGAUGUGCAUCACAGGCUGGGGACCAAUGUCCAAGACUAUGUGGACCAUCUCAAACCACCUAUGUACUUAUAAUGACAGCAAGCAAACGCAGGUGUGAGCCAGUGGCUCACAUGCUGGGCAAAUGCUCUCCCCGGCUUGUUUUUGGAAACAUGUUUCAUUAAGUUGUCCAGCCUGACAUUGAACUCAUUCUGUAGGUCUUUAAUUAAUAAGGAUACUGUGAAUUACAUUUCUGUUUGUUUGUUUG